rnacentral:pre_miRNA from 1 species
CUUGUACUCCCUCCGUUCCAAAUUACUUGUCGCGGAAAUGGAUGUAUCUAGAACUAAAAUACAUCUAGAUACAUUCAUACCUGCGACAAGUAAUUCGGAACGGAGGGAGUAUUUU